UUCCUCCUCCCCCAAGCACCGCCGCCCCCCCCCCCCCCCCCCCCCACAACACAAACAAUGUUUCCCUCCCAAUCGAAUUCCCAUUCAUUCUUGAGAAAUACCUAGAGGCAGAGAUGGAAGGAAUGGCCUAAAGAGACAACCACCACCACAACCCAUUCCAAGAACACGAACACCACCCCCGCGACCAUACAAGCUCCGUCACCGCCUUCUCUUUUAAAUCCGACUGGUACGAAGAAUCGUUCACCAACGAAGACCUCCAAGCCAUUGAAGCUGCUCCUCAAUCCGCCUCAAAAAGGCCACGACCCUCCUCUUCUCACAACCACGACGACGAUGACGACCAUAAUUCCGGCAGUCCAGAUCCCCCAACCGGUGGUGGUGGUGGUGGUGGAAGCCGCCGAAGAUUGCCUAGUUCCAUUCUCGCUUCCUAGGAACCGAACUCAUUCUCUCUUUUGCCUUGCCGAGAAAAGGGGGGAAUGGUUUGGCCAAAUAGUAAACUAUUUGGCCAAACCAUGACUGUUCAGCCAAAUCAUCAGUCUUUGCUCACAUAUUGUUGGCCCACAAUGCAAUGGAAUAAAAUUUCAGUGGGACAGCUGCAUAUUUUGAUCCUCUUUCUUGACAUCUUCAUCUCCCCGAUACUACACCUUCAGAAAGCUCAAUAUGCAAUAUUACUUAGUUGAACUCCUGCUUUGUCUCGGUUCAAGCAGGUAUUUCUGGUGGCUCAUUUAGGAUAUAUAUGAUGUCAAUGGUGUUUGGCAUUUUAAUAAUUCUUUGCGAGUUUGUGCAAACUUUACAGUUGGAAGCCUUGUAUCCUGAUGUUUUUAGAAGUGUCCAUGAAUGUGGUAAUCGAUAUUGCAAGGGUGGAGUAUUUGGAAUCUAUCAAGGUGCAAGUAACCAUGAAGAAUUGUAAAAUUUGAUGAAAGCAACAUUGAUGAUUCGUAGACUUAAAAAAGAUGUUCUUUCUAAGCUUCCUACAAAGCGUAGGCAACAGGUCACUAUGUCUGUAUGUGUUUGUUGCAGUGUCUAAUCUGCUUUUUCAUUUGAUUUUGGUUGUUAUUUAAAACUUCUUUAGAUUUCAGGAAUUUAAGGAGCAACGUCAAGUUUAAUCAAUUGAGCACAUGUUUAAAAUUAAUGCAAUGAAGAGUUUAACGCAAGAUUUGUCUCCACCACUGCCCACCAUGGCCAUCACUACUGUUACCUAUAAUUGUUUAUAGAUGAUUUUAUUGCCUAAGUUACACAAAAUGAUUGUUUUAAGUAUGUACUGAUGACAAUUAUGUGCAUGUAAAGGCAAUUAUUGUUUUAUAAAUAUUUAAAGCUUUGGUUUUAUAAGAAUUUGCUAACUUGUUUUA